rnacentral:pre_miRNA from 1 species
UCUUAGGGAUGAAUAAAGAAAGUGGUUUCUUAAGAUGGAAUCUACUUUUGGUGCAGACGCUGUGAA